CGCACGGGUGAGUAACACGUAUCCAACCUGCCGUCUACUCUUGGACAGCCUUCUGAAAGGAGGAUUAAUACAAGAUGGCAUCAUGAGUCCGCAUGUUCACAUGAUUAAAGGUAUUCCGGUAGACGAUGGGGAUGCGUUCCAUUAGAUAGUAGGCGGGGUAACGGCCCACCUAGUCUUCGAUGGAUAGGGGUUCUGAGAGGAAGGUCCCCCACAUUGGAACUGAGACACGGUCCAAACUCCUACGGGAGGCAGCAUG
rnacentral:rRNA from 1 species